rnacentral:rRNA from 1 species
GACGAACCGUGCGAACGUUGUUCGGAAUCACUGGGCUUAAAGGGCGCGUAGGCGGGUGUGCAAGUCUGUGGUGAAAGCCUCCAGCUUAACUGGAGAAGUGCCGUGGAUACUGCACAUCUUGAGGAGGGUAGGGGCAUCUGGAAGCGGUCGGGUGGAAGCGGUGAAAUGCGUUGAUAUCGACCGGAACUCCGGUGGCGAAGGCGAGGUGCUGGACCCUUCUGACGCUGAGGCGCGAAAGCCAGGGGAGCAAACGGGG